rnacentral:lncRNA from 1 species
AGUCUCUGAGGUCAUUAAGUGGCCUGUGGUCUGAGGCAGGUGCAACGUGAGAAAUCCAGAGAAUCAUGAGGGGGUAGGGCAGGCUUAGAAAAGGGAGAAUCUGCUGCCAGAGAGGCCAGAUGCCAUGAGUCCAAAGGAAUCAUCCCGCCCCCAGCAGACAAGCGUGGAGCCAGCCUGCUCCUCUGGCCAAAGCAUUCCACCCCCGGACCUCUCCUCCAGGAAGAAGAGAUGUGGAAGAAGAGAUGUGGGUAUGGUGGAUUCUGACCCUUGGCUCCCCAAAGUUCCACAGCCCAUAGGAUAAGAAGAAACCAAGUCCUAAAAGUAGGCCAGCACCAGGGUUCAGGCCUCUGACUUCAAGCCAAGGGCUCAUCAUCUUGAAUUGCGCACGAAUUUUUACACAGCGCCAAAGGAAACUGCCUGUACUUACUGUUGUAGGUGCUUUGCUGGAUUCAGGAUGCAGACAAGGUCCACGCAUUGUGGUUGGGUGAGGUGUCUUUUAGGUCUCUUUUAAUCUGUAAUACUUCUCCCUCUCUUUUAAAAAUGCAUUUAUUUGUUGAAAAAA